rnacentral:rRNA from 1 species
AACAAACUUGUUGACGGCAUGUGGGGUAAUACGGAGGGGGUAAGCGUUAAACGUAAUUAAUGGGCGUAAAGCGUGCGCAGUCGGCUUAGUAAGUCAGAGGAGAAAUCCCUAGGCGCAACCGAGGAACGGCAUGUGAAACUAAGAAACUAGAGUAUCGUAGAGGGAGGUAGAAUUCCAGGUGUAGCGGUGAAAUGCGUAGAUAUCUGGAGGAAUACCAGUGGCGAAGGCGACCUCCUGGACGAAAACUGACGCGCAAGCACGAAAGCAUGGGGAGCAAACAGGAUUAGAUACCCCGGUAGUC